rnacentral:rRNA from 1 species
AUUGAACGCUGGCGGAAUGCUUUACACAUGCAAGUCGAACGGUAGAGGGGGCAACCCCUUGAGAGUGGCGAACGGGUGAGUAAUAUAUCGGAACGUGCCCAGUCGUGGGGAUAACGUAGCGAAAGUUACGCUAAUACCGCAUACGAUCUAAGGAUGAAAGCGGGGGAUCGCAAGACCUCGCGCGAUUGGAGCGGCCGAUAUCAGAUUAGGUAGUUGGUGGGGUAAAGGCUCACCAAGCCAACGAUCUGUAGCUGGUCUGAGAGGACGGCCAGCCACACUGGAACUGAGACACGGUCCAGACUCCUACGGGAGGCAGCAGUGGGGAAUUUUGGACAAUGGACGCAAGUCUGAUCCAGCCAUUCCGCGUGCAGGAUGAAGGCCUUCGGGUUGUAACUAGCUUUGUUACGGAACGAACGGUGAGCGUCUAAUACAGUUGCUAAUGACGGUACCGUAAGAAUAAG